rnacentral:misc_RNA from 1 species
AAGUCGUAACAAGGUUUCCGUAGGUGAACCUGCGGAAGGAUCAUUAAAAAACAAACAUUUUGAGGGGUCAGACAUUCUUUUCGUCAAAAAUUAGAGUGUUUGGUCUUUUUGAGUGCUUAAUUCCUGCAGUUGUCAGCUCACAGGCUAAAAGAACUGACCAGAUAUCUCGGUAUCUGUAAUUCACCCAUAUAUUAAAGCUUUAUAAACUUUUUACAACUUUUGACAAUGGAUCUCUCGGCUCUCU